rnacentral:lncRNA from 13 species
GACUCCAGCCGACGUCAACACGGACGUCUAGACCUAAACACAGACGUCUAGACCUAAACACAGACGUCUAGACCUAAACACAGACAUCUAGACCUAAGCAUGGCUGCUACGCUGCCAUCUACGCUGCCAUCUACACUGCCCAGACCAGACUGUCAUAUGGACAGGAGUGGGAGCUUCUUUAAGUGUCAUGCCCUGACCUUAGAGAGCCGUCCGGAAGCUCCGGUCCCUAGUCCGGAGCCUCCAGCAACGGUCCCCAGUCCGGAGCCUCCAGCGACGGUCCCCAGUCCGGAGCCUGCAGCGACGGUCCCCAGUCUGGAGCCUGCAGCGACGGUCCCCAGUCCGGAGCCUCCAGCGACGGUCCCCAGUCCGGAGCCUCCAGCGACGGUCCGCAGUCCGGAGCCUCCAGCGAGGGUCUGCAUUCCGGAGCCUCCAGCGGGGGUUCCUAAUCUAGAGCCUCCGGCGAUGAUCCACGGUCCGGUUCCUCCGGCGAUGAUCCACGGUCCGGUUCCUCUGGCGAUGAUCCCACGGUCCGGUUCCUCCGGCAACGAUCCACGGUCCGGUUCCACAGAAGUGGAGGGUUCAGCGUGCGGAGCGAGGCUACGUCCCGAACCGGAGCCGCCACCGAGGAUAGAUGCCCCCCCGGACCCUCCCCUAUAGAGUCAGGUUUUGCGGCAGGAGUCCGCACCUUUGUUGGGGGGGGGGGGGUACUGUCACGCCCUGACCUUAGAGAGACGUUUUAUUUCUCUAUUUGGUUAGGACAGGGUGUGAUUUGGGUGGGCAUUCUAUGUUUUCUAUUUCUUGUUUUUGGCCGAGUGUGGUUCCCAAUCAGAGGCAGCUGUCUAUCGUUGUCUCUGAUUGGGAAUCAUACUUAGGCAGCCUUUUUCCCACCUAAUGUUGUGGGUAAUUAUUUAUUUUCUGUGUGUGUUUGUGUGCGCCACGGUUGCGUCACGGUCGGUUUCUGUUUACCUGUUUUUUGUGAAGGUUUCACUUUAUUAAAGAUGUGGAAUUACAUGCACGCUGCUCCUUGGCUCAUCUAUGACAGGGAGUUUGAAGACAGUGAACGUGACAGGUAGAGCCUAUAAGAAGAACAACAACAACAAUUCCCUGUCUGCUCUCUCAAUGUGGCCAGA